rnacentral:lncRNA from 1 species
CAGGACACGCUGAGGUAAUUUCAAUUUUUGUUUGUCAAAAAUCAACUCAUAUUGCGAGAGGUGAGUUGAGCCUCAAGACACGUUGAGGUAUUUUCAAUUUCUGUCUUUAAAAAUAAAUCAGCUCAUAUUGCGAGAGGUGAGUUGAACCUCAAGACACGUUGAGGUAUUUUUAAUUUCUGUUUUUCAAAAAAAUCAACUCAUAUUGCGAUAGGUGAGUUGAACCUCAAGACGCUGAGGUAAUUUCAAUUUUUGUUUGUCAAAAAUCAACUCAUAUUGCGAGAGGUGAGUUGAGCCUCAAGACACGUUGAGGUAUUUUCAAUUUCUGUCUUUCAAAAAAAAUCAGCUCAUAUUGCGAGAGGUGAGUUGAACCUCAAGACGCUGAGGUGUUUUCCAUUUCUAUUCUUCAAUUUCUGUGUUUCAAAAAAAAUCAGUUCAUAUUGCGAGUGGUGAGUUGAGCCUUGACUCACACGCUGAGGUAUUUUCAAAUUCUGUUUUUCAAAUUUUGUUUUUCCAAAAAAUCAACUCAUAUUGCGAGAGGUGAGUUCAGCCUCAGGACACGCUGAGAUAUUUUCAAUUUCCUUUUUUUCAAUUUAUGUUUGUCAAAAAAAUCAACUCAUAUUGCGAGAGGUGAGUUGAGCCUCAGAUCACACGCCGAGGUAUUUUCAAUUGAUUUUUAUUUUUAUUUUUUUUUCAAUUUAUGCUUUGCAAAAAUCAACUCAUAUUACGAGAGGUGAGUUGAGCCUCGGGUCACAUACCGAGGUAUUUUCAAAAUCUAUUUUACAAAUUUUGUUUUAAAAAUCAACUCAUAUUGCGAGAAGUGAGUUGAGCCUUGGCUCACGUGCUGAGCUAUUUUCAAUUUCUGUUUUUAAUGUUUAGUUUUAAAGAGUCAAUUCAUAUUGCGAGAAAUGAGUUAAGCUCAGGAUCACAUGCCGAGUAAAGAAUAAAGACUGGAAUUAAUCGAAGACACAGAUUUUAUAUCCCUGAAGUUACAGUGAAGCUAAUUGAAGUUGCAG